rnacentral:rRNA from 1 species
GAUAAACGCUGGCGGCGUGCCUAAUACAUGCAAGUCGAGCGAACGGACGAGAAGCUUGCUUCUCUGAUGUUAGCGGCGGACGGGUGAGUAACACGUGGAUAACCUACCUAUAAGACUGGGAUAACUUCGGGAAACCGGAGCUAAUACCGGAUAAUAUUUUGAACCGCAUGGUUCAAAAGUGAAAGACGGUCUUGCUGUCACUUAUAGAUGGAUCCGCGCUGCAUUAGCUAGUUGGUAAGGUAACGGCUUACCAAGGCAACGAUGCAUAGCCGACCUGAGAGGGUGAUCGGCCACACUGGAACUGAGACACGGUCCAGACUCCUACGGGAGGCAGCAGUAGGGAAUCUUCCGCAAUGGGCGAAAGCCUGACGGAGCAACGCCGCGUGAGUGAUGAAGGUCUUCGGAUCGUAAAACUCUGUUAUUAGGGAAGAACAUAUGUGUAAGUAACUGUGCACAUCUUGACGGUACCUAAUCAGAAAGCCACGGCUAACUACGUGCCGGCAGCCGCGGUAAUACGUAGGUGGCAAGCGUUAUCCGGAAUUAUUGGGCGUAAAGCGCGCGUAGGCGGUUUUUUAAGUCUGAUGUGAAAGCCCACGGCUCAACCGUGGAGGGUCAUUGGAAACUGGAAAACUUGAGUGCAGAAGAGGAAAGUGGAAUUCCAUGUGUAGCGGUGAAAUGCGCAGAGAUAUGGAGGAACACCAGUGGCGAAGGCGACUUUCUGGUCUGUAACUGACGCUGAUGUGCGAAAGCGUGGGGAUCAAACAGGAGUAGAUACCCUGGUAGUCCACGCCGUAAACGAUGAGUGCUAAGUGUUAGGGGGUUUCCGCCCCUUAGUGCUGCAGCUAACGCAUUAAGCACUCCGCCUGGGGAGUACGACCGCAAGGUUGAAACUCAAAGGAAUUGACGGGGACCCGCACAAGCGGUGGAGCAUGUAGUUUAAUUCGAAGCAACGCGAAGAACCUUACCAAAUCUUGACAUCCUUUGACAACUCUAGAGAUAGAGCCUUCCCCUUCGGGGGACAAAGUGACAGGUGGUGCAUGGUUGUCGUCAGCUCGUGUCGUGAGAUGUUGGGUUAAGUCCCGCAACGAGCGCAACCCUUAAGCUUAGUUGCCAUCAUUAAGUUGGGCACUCUAAGUUGACUGCCGGUGACAAACCGGAGGAAGGUGGGGAUGACGUCAAAUCAUCAUGCCCCUUAUGAUUUGGGCUACACACGUGCUACAAUGGACAAUACAAAGGGCAGCGAAACCGCGAGGUCAAGCAAAUCCCAUAAAGUUGUUCUCAGUUCGGAUUGUAGUCUGCAACUCGACUACAUGAAGCUGGAAUCGCUAGUAAUCGUAGAUCAGCAUGCUACGGUGAAUACGUUCCCGGGUCU